rnacentral:lncRNA from 1 species
AUACACAUUCACACAGGACUUCUUCAGCUCUUCACAGUUUCUCUUCUGUUAGCCCCUCCCUUGUGCCCGAGCAGAGAAAGAAGUCCAGCUUUAUCCUCACUGUGGCUGGGGUUGCCUUACAAUCGAAGGAAACCAUAGGACAAUGGCUGGAAGAAAUGCAGAUUUGGCUGAGACAGUUUACCACUCUUUCCAUGGGCUGCAUGUGCUUGUACAGUGACAGCACUUUGGAUCCACCAGAUUGACCAAAAUGGAAAAGGUCGGCGAGGCUAAUGAUGUGGUAUGGACUAUGAACUUCUGUAGCCUUCCGGGAAGGAAGGUUAUUAUUUUUAAAGGCACAUAGCUGUUUCAUUCAGCAGUACCAUGUUUUUGGUAAGCUGUCCCACAGAAAGAAGAAGAUCAGCCCGGAAGGUAAUAUGUUUAGGGGUAUGUAUUUUAGAGUGGCUUUGGAGUGGCAAACAGAUGCCCCUAAUUCAAAGCAAAACAGUUAAUGCCCAUCUUCGCAGGCCACGUAGCCUGGCAGAGCUGUACUGCAGAGCACCAGGCAAGUUUUUAAAGUGAGCAGGUACCGACCAAGAAGCAUGUCUGAUUCAUGAUCUACCUCCCCGCCCCAACCCCCAGAGAUAGCGUCUCAUACAACACAAGCUAGCCUUGAACUUCCUCUGUAACU